CGGGGUGAGUAAUGUCUGGGAAACUGCCUGAUGGAGGGGGAUAACUACUGGAAACGGUAGCUAAUACCGCAUAACGUCGCAAGACCAAAGAGGGGGACCUUCGGGCCUCUUGCCAUCGGAUGUGCCCAGAUGGGAUCAGCUAGUAGGUGGGGUAACGGCUCACCUAGGCGACGAUCCCUAGCUGGUCUGAGAGGAUGACCAGCCACACUGGAACUGAGACACGGUCCAG
rnacentral:rRNA from 1 species